GUGCUCUAAAUCUGAAUCGGGCAUUGAGGAGGCAGUGUUCCAAAGUUGAACCGGGCGAGUCAAAAUCGAAUUAGGUGUUCCGAGUUUUAGGGUUCUCUGCGUUGUCUCUGAAAACAUUGAGUUAUGGAGGGUUUGCAGAAGUUGAUUGGCAAAGUCUCAAAAGACCCACCAAAAUUGGGCAACUCUUCGUCUUCGUCCUCGUCUUCAUUUGACAGUCACCGUGCCGGUGAAGGUCUCGCUGCCGCUUUGUCUUCUUCUGAUCAGUCUCGUAUUCUAUUCAACAGACCUGCCAGGCAAGUAGUAUCACUGUGGACGUGCUCAAAGCUUUGUACACUUUGCUUUGUUGCUGGAAUUGUUGUUGGUUACACACUGAAGCGACGUGUCCGAAGCUGGGCUUCCAGACUACUCAAGAGAAUCAAGGAUGAAUGAUUGCAGCUGGAUCUCUUUGUAUUAAUCUGCUUAAUGUAUCGUCGUCCAUAGAUAAAUGAUUCUGCAACAAUAGUUAUUUGCUCUUGAAAGA